rnacentral:misc_RNA from 1 species
GCAAACUUGGUCAUUUAGAGGAAGUAAAAGUCGUAACAAGGUUUCCGUAGGUGAACCUGCGGAAGGAUCAUCACAGAGUGAUCGUGUGGGGGGCUGUGUAAUGCAGUGUGCCUCUACACCAAUCUUGUGUGAACUGUGUUCUGUGGUGUGUGUGUUGGUGGUGCCGUGGUGGAAUAUACACCCCACGCCCACCAACAUCACAAUCAAUCUCUCUCUUUCAACCUUUGUCUAACAUGCACCCACAAUUCAAAACAACUUUUAACAAUGGAUCUCUUGGCUCUCGCAUCGAUGAAGAACGCAGC